rnacentral:rRNA from 1 species
CAGUCGCCACGGUAAUACGUAGGGUGCAAGCGUUAAUCGGAAUUACUGGGCGUAAAGCGGGCGCAGACGGUUACUUAAGCAGGAUGUGAAAUCCCCGGGCUCAACCUGGGAAUUGCGUUCUGAACUGGGUGGCUAGAGUGUGUCAGAGGGGGGUAGAAUUCCACGUGUAGCAGUGAAAUGCGUAGAGAUGUGGAGGAAUACCGAUGGCGAAGGCAGCCCCCUGGGAUAGCACUGACGUUCAUGCCCGAAAGCGUGGGUAGCAAACAGGAUUAGAUACCCGCGUAGUCCCUGUCUCUUAUAA